CAACCCCCUGCCACGGGCAGGGACACCUUCCACUAGAGCAGAUAUUCCCUUUCUGUUCCUUUCUCUAUGAGAGAUGGAUUUUGGGAGCUUUAUUUAGACCUUUAUUCUCAGAUUCUCAGCUACAAGGAGGUGCUGCUACCCAAGGGUAUUAAAACUGUGGUUCAGAAGAAGUUAUUUUCAUCGAUUAAUUUUUUGCACAUAAUGAUACAGAAAUAGAAAGGUUUUGAUUUAGUUUAUAUGCUUUGAAUUCCCAAAUUUGAAAUGAUCCAUUAGUAAUGCUUUGGUGUCCUCAUUAAAUACCUAAUUAUAUGGAGCACUUUUACAGUUUUUGCCAGUUUCUGAUGGCUUUUACUGUGCCGAUCAUUGCUGGUUGUGACAUUUAAACCAUAUGUUUGAAUUCUUCCAUCUCGUGUGUCUUGUCAUUUCGUUGCUCUUUUUGAGAACUGUUUCUAUGAUUUAGUAAAAUAAUUGCACAAUAAGAAAGAUAGUGUAAUUCUGUGAAAGAUACAGAACCAGUAGGUAUCCCCUCAAGAAGAAGACAGAGAACCACAGUGCAGCCACAGGAACCAGUGGUUGGGGGCUUGUUAGUGGGAGUCCUUUCCUUGCGGCAUUUGGGUUUAUAGUUGUAUGUGCAGUAUCCCCCUUUAGAAGCAAAAUAUAUGGAGAUGAAAAAGCAAAGCAAAACAAGAACAUAGAAGUCACCUUAAACUUAGCCUGGAGGUGCUUUUUACACUAAAUCUUUUGACGUUUUUGA